rnacentral:tRNA from 4 species
GGGCGUAGUUCAGUGGUAGAACGUCAGCUUCCCAAGCUGAAUGUCGUCGGUUCGAUCCCGAUCGCC